rnacentral:rRNA from 1 species
CCUACGGGAGGCAGCAGUAGGGAAUCUUCCACAAUGGGCGAAAGCCUGAUGGGGCAACGCCGCGUGGGUGAAGAAGGUCUUCGGAUCGUAAAACCCUGUUGUUAGAGAAGAAAGUGCGUGAGAGUAACUGUUCACGUUUCGACGGUAUCUAACCAGAAAGCCACGGCUAACUACGUGCCAGCAGCCGCGGUAAUACGUAGGUGGCAAGCGUUAUCCGGAUUUAUUGGGCGUAAAGGGAACGCAGGCGGUCAUUUAAGUCUGAUGUGAAAGCCCUCGGCUUAACCGGAG